UGGGGAAUUUUGGACAAUGGGCGCAAGCCUGAUCCAGCAACGCCGCGUGCAGGAUGAAGGCCUUCGGGUUGUAAACUGCUUUUGUACGGAGCGAAAAGGUCUGCCCUAAUACGGUGGUCUCAUGACGGUACCGUAAGAAUAAGCACCGGCUAACUACGUGCCAGCAGCCGCGGUAAUACGUAGGGUUCGAGCGUUAAUCGGAAUUACUGGGCGUAAAGCGUGCGCAGGCGGUUAUAUAAGACAGGUGUGAAAUCCCCGGGCUCAACCUGGGACCUGCAUUUGUGACUGUAUAGCUAGAGUACGGCAGAGGGGGAUGGAAUUCCGCGUGUAGCAGUGAAAUGCGUAGAUAUGCGGAGGAACACCGAUGGCGAAGGCAAUCCCCUGGGCCUGUACUGACGCUCAUGCACGGAAGCGUGGGGAGCAAACA
rnacentral:rRNA from 1 species